GACGAACGCUGGCGGCGUGCUUAACACAUGCAAGUCGAACGGAAAGGCCAUGCUUUUGUGGGGUGCUCGAGUGGCGAACGGGUGAGUAACACGUGAGUAACCCGCCCUUGACUUUGGGAUAACUUCAGGAAACUGGGGCUAUUAUCGGAUAGGAUCUCCUGCUGCAUGGGGGGGGUUGGAAAGUUUCGGCGGUUGUGGAUGGACUCGCGGCUUAUCAGCUGGUUUGUGGGGUAGUGGCUUACGAAGGCUUUGACGGGUAGCCGGCCUGAGAGGGUGGACGGCCACAUGGGGACUGAGAUACGGACCAGAAUCCUACGGGAGGCAGAAGUGGGAAAUAUGGCACAGUGGGCGGAAGCCUGAUGCAGAAACGCCGCGUGCGGGAUGACGGCCUACGGGUUGUAAACCGCUUUCGCCGGUGACGAAGCGUGAGUGACGGUAAUGGGUAAAGAAGCACCGGCUAACUACGUG
rnacentral:rRNA from 1 species